AACGAACGCUGGCGGCAUGCCUAACACAUGCAAGUCGAACGAGACCUUCGGGUCUAGUGGCGCACGGGUGCGUAACGCGUGGGAAUCUGCCCUUGGGUCUGGAAUAACAGUUAGAAAUGACUGCUAAUACCGGAUGAUGACUUCGGUCCAAAGAUUUAUCGCCCAGGGAUGAGCCCGCGUAGGAUUAGCUUGUUGGUGAG
rnacentral:rRNA from 1 species